rnacentral:lncRNA from 1 species
GAGAGAGAGAGAGAGAGAGAUGUCUUUUGUGAUCUACCUGACUCCUCGUGAGUCCUGUUUGCUUGGCCAGCAUAAACUUGUCCGAAUCCGUUGGGUAUCUGCAAUCCACAAGAAUUUAGAAGGCGGAAUGACAUUUGUAAUCCGCGGGAGGAGUUCUGCGACCGGAGCACUCACGGGUGGAGGAAGUGCUCGAACAGCCAAGCUCGGAGAACGGAAACAGAGCGUUCAGGGAGUCCUCGCUGAGGUCGCCAGGCAUUCGGCUGGAUCAUCUGCCUCUGCUGUCUCAGAUGCUGAUCGAUGAACCGAAGCCUCGAGUUCCCCAGCUUGGUGUCUUCCUCCCCCAAAGUCUUGCAGGUUGCUCGAAUCUGGCCGACGAUGGCGUCUCGGAGACACCGGAAUUGCUUCGAUAUGGUCCGCUGAGCGAGGACGGUGUAUGUUCUUGCAGAUCCAUGGCCAGCAACAGCUUCGAAGGAAGCGAUCACGGUUUGCAUCUGGUGGUUGUACUUCCUGUAUCUCUGUUCCGCCUUCAAGUUUCAGAGAAGGAAAGCAGGACAAGUGAAUUGUCAGCUAAAGCAGAGGAAUCAAUCAGGAAGACGACAACGAAGAGUUACCUCCUCGAGCAUGCUGAUGAGCUUGGCCUUCUUCAUCUGUAGCUCCUGCCUCUCAGCUGUUGUCAGAUCCGCUCUUUGCUUCGUGCUCGUGGUUUCUCCACCUUUCAGCUCUGUGUUCCUCGACUUAGGCCCCUUCGCUGCCUCAUCUUUAAUCCCCUUCCCGACGUCGACCACCUCGUCGAGCAACUGUUGAGCUGCCUUCAAGUACUUGGAACCCAUCAAGAAGCUCCGCCGGCCAGAGACGCCAUUCGCGCCACCUACAGACGCCGCAAACAUCACCUCGUGGGCGCUCCCCGGAGUCAUCGCCAUCUCAUGUGGAGAGAGGCUCAGAGACAGUCCUCGCCGCCGGGGACUGAACUGGGAUGCCACGUCGACGGAGUUGCUCGUGGGCGUCGGCGUCCAGAGGUUGUGAUGGAGGCGGGUGAGUACCGACGCAUCAUGGGACGCGUGGAUCGGUAGGGGGCGGUCCGAGUCACGGAGCCGCGCUGCUGGUUGGAGAGGGAUUCCGACGAAGUCCUGCUGCUGCUGGUUCGGCUGGCCUGCUUGUGCGAGAAUGAUCGGGUUCAAUGAAUUCAUCGUGGAGUUGAGUAGGACCAUGUUGGCCGGAGCUGCUGCGUCCAUGUAGCCAGCGUAGCCGGGGUUCAUGAGGAAGAGGGUCUGCAGCCCAUCCGGUUGCACUUCCGGAGCUCCAUGAAUGAACGUCGCCAUCGCGAGAGAGAGAGAGAGAGAGAGAGAGAGAGAGAGAUCAGCUUAGGAUUGUAGCUCGAUCGAAUGCCUCGGUCGACGCAAAAUGCUCAUGGAGAAAAGCAAAGGGAAGAACAUGGACGAUCGAUCGAGUGAACCGAAGAAGCCCACGUCGAACAGUCGACACCACUCGAUCCAUCUUCCCAAGUGCUCUCUCGGUAAAAGAAGUACUCCGUCAUAUCAAGCAACUACGCAUGGCUUCUUAAUCCUUUAACCUGUGUACUGAAACCACACACAACUUCGAUGGAAUCACCUCCUCGAGGCAGCCAAUCAGAGACUGCUCGCUGUCUUGGGAUGACCCGAUAGCAGAGUCGGAACUCCCCAAAAGACUCUGCUUUUCUUCCUCUUUCUUAGAAGCUCCAACAUGCAGCGCUCGAUCUGAUCUCUCAUGAGCAAAAGCAGCAGCAGGAGAUGAAAGCUGUAUCAGAUGCAGUUUCCCUUCUAUGUAUCCAUCACAAGCCGUCAAGCGGAGUCUAAGCUAUCAUGAUGCCCUCAUGAAAAGAAAGGCAAGAUUUGGCCCACCUCUUCUCCCCGGCAUCAGAUGUAGCAGCACGAGAGGGAUCGAGAGACAUGGCAUUCUACGAAGACGUCAGUAUAAUUCUGUGAAAGAAGCGACACAAGUGCCACAAGGAACAAAGACCUGUCUGAAGGCCGUGCGCGAGAGAGAGAGAGACCGAGAGAAGGUCGGCAGGUGCUUUGUCUCUACUUGUUUUGUUGCGUACUCGAUUCUUCUUCUUCUUCUUCUCCUCGCUGCUAUCUACUUGUUGUGUUCAUUAUUUAUGGGUGGAUGAUGAUGCUGGAAGAUAAAAAGGCAUUGAAAGCUAAGCAAGCCCGGCAACGACAGCCAUGACAGCAGCACAGCGAGAACGUUGUCUUCUUCUGGGCAAGACUAGACUCGAUGCAGGCGAAAGUCGUGUGGAAGUCUACCAAGUGUAACCUAUCUACAUCUGGUUCUGAUAGCGAAGGAUGACGCCGAAGCCCUCGAAAGCAUCCACCCACCCAAUGCCCUCUUGUUCCGAGCGUGCCAUGGCACAGCACGAGCCAUGGUGUUCAUCAAGGUCAUCCAUCUUCCUGCACAUCGACUGUAGUGUUCGAGAGAGACACUAAGGUGGCAGAAACAUCAUGUGAUGGAGCAGAUUUCCGUGUCUCAGAAUCAUCCGAACAGUCAACAAAAGGGAACUCCCCUGCCUCAACAAUGCCUCGAGGUGUUGGAAGUGGAAAUUAUCAGUUAAGCUGUUCUUAUCAGAAGCAACCUUUGAUUGAUUAGCCAUUGAAAUUAUUUCUCCGAGGAAAAGGAUAUGAAAUGUCACACUCUCCUGCUUGCAUGACAUGAAAGUGGCCUGCAUUUUUUGUGUUAGCGCUGUC